AUUUAACGAAAGUGGCGAACGGGUGAGUAACACGUGAGCAACCUGCCUUACACAGGGGGAUAGCCAUUGGAAACGGUGAUUAAUACCCCAUAAGACCACAAUACCGCAUGGUAAAAGGGUAAAAGGGAUACCGGUGUAAGAUGGGCUCGCGUCUGAUUAGCUAGUUGGUGGGGUAAAGGCCUACCAAGGCGACGAUCAGUAGCCGGUCUGAGAGGAUGAACGGCCACAUUGGAACUGAGACACGGUCCAAACUCCUACGGGAGGCAGCAGUG
rnacentral:rRNA from 1 species